UACGUAGGGUGCAAGCGUUAAUCGGAAUACUGGGCGUAAAGCGUGCGCAGGCGGUGAUGUAAGACAGGUGUGAAAUCCCCGGGCUUAACCUGGGAACUGCAUUUGUGACUGCAUCGCUGGAGUGCGGCAGAGGGGGAUGGAAUUCCGCGUGUAGCAGUGAAAUGCGUAGAUAUGCGGAGGAACACCGAUGGCGAAGGCAAUCCCCUGGGCCUGCACUGGACGCUCAUGCACGAAAGCGUGGGGAGCAAACAGG
rnacentral:rRNA from 1 species